rnacentral:rRNA from 1 species
AUUGAACGCUGGCGGCAGGCCUAACACAUGCAAGUCGAGCGGAUGAGUGGAGCUUGCUCCAUGAUUCAGCGGCGGACGGGUGAGUAAUGCCUAGGAAUCUGCCUGGUAGUGGGGGACAACGUUUCGAAAGGAACGCUAAUACCGCAUACGUCCUACGGGAGAAAGCAGGGGACCUUCGGGCCUUGCGCUAUCAGAUGAGCCUAGGUCGGAUUAGCUAGUAGGUGAGGUAAUGGCUCACCUAGGCGACGAUCCGUAACUGGUCUGAGAGGAUGAUCAGUCACACUGGAACUGAGACACGGUCCAGACUCCUACGGGAGGCAGCAGUGGGGAACUAUUGGACAAUGGGCGAAAGCCUGAUCCAGCCAUGCCGCGUGUGUGAAGAAGGUCUUCGGAUUAUAAAGCACUUUAAGUUGGGUAGGAAGGGCAGUAAGUUAAUACCUUGCUGUUUUGACGUUUACCAACAGAAUAAGCACCGGCUAACUUCGUG